GUUGGUCUCAUCCAACCAAGAGCCCCAAGCUUUUUUUUGAAGUUUUAACAUCAAGUCAUUCUACUUUCAUUUUUUCCUUUUUUUUCAUUUCGGUCCUAAAUUUCUCUUAUGCAACAUCAUUUUUUUCUCAAAGGAUCAUUCCAUGUCAAUAAUAUCAUCCAAAUACGAGAAUGGACUUUCCAUUCCAAUUCCAAGCCUAUUCUCUAUGUCCAUUCCCAUGAGAAAAAAGAAACCACCAACCAAACACAGCACGACCUUCUAAUUUAGCUUCAGACACUAAAACCUGCCUCAUUCUACUCGUAAUCACUUAUAACAGUAGGCUGCAGACAGAUCAAAACUAUGAAAAUGGAACAGGUUACCCCAUAUUCAAGGCCUAAAACUUCCCUUAAUCUUUAUCUGGAUGGCCGACCAGGUUGGUCGAGGAACUUGAUCUUUAGCUCUAUUUCACCAGAUUCUACAUCACGAAGCUUCAACCAAACACUCUGUGUUACACCCCCUCCCUCCAUACAACUAAUGCUGCUGUCCCUGGCUAAGCAGUUAUCAAUGUCUGGAGUAACUUUUCUUAACAUUGUUGCCUCUGACGAAACUCCAAGCGCCCGUCUCAAUCUAGCAGCUGAAAUUAUCGGUUUAAGACUCAGCUCUGCAUGUCCCAUCUUGUCAUCUGACUUGAACCGAUCUUUGUCAAACACUUCUAAUGUCAGAUCUUGAACAGGAUGGGUGAGGGAGAAGCUUAGCUCUUCA
rnacentral:misc_RNA from 1 species